AUUGAACGCUGGCGGCAUGCCUAACACAUGCAAGUCGAGCGGAGCGGCGGACGGGUGAGUAAUGCCUAGGAAUCUGCCUGGUCGUGGGGGAUAGCGUCCGGAAACGGGCGCUAAUACCGCAUACUAUCAGAUGAGCCUAGGUCGGAUUAGCUAGUUGGUGGGGUAAAGGCCUACAAAGGCGACGAUCCGUAACUGGUCUGAGAGGAUGAUCAGUCACACUGGAACUGAGACACGGUCAAGACUCCUACGGGAGGCAGCAGUGGGGAAUAGUGGACAAUGGGGGAAAGCCUGAUCGAGCCAUGCGGCGUGGGUGAAGAAGGUCUUCGGAUUGUAAAGCACGUUAAGUUGGGAGGCGUUACCAACAGAAUAAGCACCGGCUAACUUCGUGCCAGCCGCCGCGGUAAUUC
rnacentral:rRNA from 1 species